UACGUAGGUGGCAAGCGUUGUCCGGAUUUACUGGGCGUAAAGAGCGCGCAGGCGGUCGUUCAAGUCGCGUGUGAAAGCCCCCGGCUCAACUGGGGAGGGUCACGCGAUACUGAUCGACUGGAAGGCAGGAGAGGGUAGUGGAAUUCCCGGUGUAGUGGUGAAAUGCGUAGAGAUCAGCAGGAACACCCGUGGCGAAGGCGGCCCCCUGGGCCGUACCUGACGCUGAGGCGCGAAGGCUAGGGGAGCGAACGGG
rnacentral:rRNA from 1 species